UGUUUCUAAUUUAAAUAAAACUAAUUGGAAUUCAAUAGUCCUUUUCGGAUUUAUUUUGCUUAUUGUUUUUUUUGCUCUACUUACCCAUUUAAUUAUUUAAAUAUCAAUUAUCUUAAAUUCAUGGUUACUUAUUCUAAUUUAAUAGCUAAUUCGAUCACACUCUAUUAUAAAAUAGAAGCAUAAACACUGACAGGUUGAAUGGUUUAUGUUAUGUUAAAUGGCAACAACCAUUUAACUAAUGUAUUAUUCCUUAUUCAGACCAAUGCAUACAGUAGUAAAAAAAUGUUUAUUUGUUAUUUAUGAGUGUUGUCUCAACUAAUCAUGGGCUACUUGCAACAGUUACUUCAUCUGAAAACCUACUGGAUGAAAAAGCCUCACCUAGGAAGAAGGACGGAAAGAUGUACUUGCAUAAAAAGAGAAAAUAGGAAUUCAUCAGUUUUCCUCAUCAUCCCAGUGAGUCUGUUGAUCUUUGUCAUGGUGACCUUGUUCAUAUGGUUGAUCUUGAAAAAGUAGAGGACAAGCAAUUUACAGUCGUCAACCAUGACAACGGUAAGAUAUGCUGAUCCAUUUCACAUUAUAUCUGGUAUAUUGUAUAUUUUUAUACACUGAUCAGACAAAUCAACAUGGAGGAAACCACGGACAACAACAAAAUAAGAUUUAACAAAAAGGCCAAAACAUUAAAGCCACUUAUACUCAUUUGAAGCUCAAAAAAUAGUUCUCCUUUUAUCAGGUUGGCUUCAACAAACACGCAAAUGACCUGAAGCAGUUUCUCCGUCCCCGAAUCUCUCAACUUUCUUUUAGACUCUUUCAUAUUUUAGGUUUCUUUGCAGUGUAGGAAGUUGUCAUUGGAGUAGUGGAGUUGUCAUUGGAAUAUUGGUAUGCAAUUGAGUAAUUGUCAUGGAACAAUCAAUAGGAGGCGCCCUCUUGCUCUUUGAACUGUCAAAUCUUCCAUAAUGGGCCAGAUUUUUGGUGUGUGCCAGUUUUAUUUGGAUGUAAAUUGACAGCAUGAUUUGCACAGGCUGUGAACAGCACUUAGAUGAAGUGUCAAUCUCUCUGCGGGUUAGCAUACGUAUUUUUGAAACUGAAAAGCAAUGUCUGAGAAAGUGUGAAGACAUUUAUGGGAAGUAAAAAAACAAGAAGUCAUUACUGCUUCAAAUGCGAGAAUACAGAACGUCUUCAGUCGUCUAUAAACUACAGGAUGUCCAUGAUAUGAAUACCUAUUAAUAUUAUUUCUAUUUAUUAAAAUGCAUCUUAGUAUACUGUGCGGUUGCUGUGGAUUCAUAGCCAGAGAAGAUAGUGACCAUAUGUCAGAAAGCCAUUAUGUAUGUGUUGUCAAAAUUCACAUUAAUCCCUUGAAAUACAAAUAAAAUUCCUGCAAAUAGGGGUAAUGAUAUUGAUGUUCUCAAGCUGAUUAUUUUUUUAGUCUUUUUUAAAUGAUAUUUGGUUUUCUCCCAUUUCUUCAAACGGGUAACAUACUGUAAUGUGGGAUAUGUGAGUAAACAUUAGGUAACUCUAAAUACAAAGAACUGAAAGUCCUCAAUUCUUUGUUUGAUAUCUGUCUCCAUUUCCACUCGGAGACCAUGUGAAAGUGACGUGGAUGUGCUGUACAGUUCUAUGGACAUCGAAAAACCACAAACGAAAAGGCUAAAAGGUUAAGGCGCAAGAUGAUGUAACAUACAGCACACCAGCCGCCUGGAGCCACAUGGGGUUAAGUGUCUUUCCCUGGGCUACACUAGCAAUUAUCGAUGAGGCCGGAUGAAACAAAUCAGGUUGUUCAACUCAAAGAAUGUCAUGAAGACCUGGAUGACCUGUAACCUUCUGCUUUUAAUCUCAGACAAACUGAGUUGUCGUCACCUGUCAGUGUGAAGACCCCCAUCAUGCAGCUGAUGUUCCUGUUUCCCAGCAGAGCCAUGUCCAUUUUACUGGCUCCACUUUUCCUCUGUUCCCUCCUGGACUUGAAAGAGGCCCAGAUACCGGUACCAAGGACCAGCAGGUAGAAAAAUACCAUCACUAUCACUCCUGGGACGUUCACUGCCAUGAUGGACCAGCUGACUGACUUCCACACCGGCUGCUUUCAGACUAAGUAAGACUCUGACUCAGAAACAGGAAAAUCUGGUACUGUGAUUACCAAAGUACAAACUGAAAACUUGCCCUUUACGUCUCAUCUUUUAUACACUGGGCUCAGGGGCUGGACUGCACCCCUGGACCUCAUUCCAUGUCACACAUUAUGCCACUAUUUUCCACCAUUAGAUAUCUGUAUUGCAUUUUACCUAUCAUACCUUCUGAUUUCUUAUCUUAACUUGCAUCUGUGACUGUUCAACCAUACUAUUUCACUCAACAACAACACUUUGAUUGACAUACUAAUAACUUAACCUAAUUGUGACUGUUCAACCAUGACAUGCCAGGCUUUGCCCUGAGGAAGUUUGCCAAUGUUUUGUUUCUGUUUGAUUGGUUUACUGUUUUUAAGAAUCUGCCAGUAGUAUAUAAUUAUGUACCCUGCCUUUAAAUGUUUGGACUGCACCUCAUCAAUGUACACUCCGGUUACUUGGUAUAAAAGGUUUGAGAACCACUGUCAUAGACUACACCAGUGGUGUA